UUUUAUAAUUUUUAUAAUUAGUUUAAUUUCGCAUUUUUAGAUAAUCUAGGAUUUUAAUUUUAGGAUUUUUAAUUAAAGAAAAGAAAAGAAAAUGGAAUAAGGAUUUAAUUACAAUGGGGUUUUAAAUUAAGCAAUUGGACCAUUUUUAAGCCAUAAACCCGUCCAAACAACUACCCAAACCCAGGCCCAAAUCUGUUGACCCGGACCGGCCCAAACCCCUUAUUAAAACCCCUUCCUAAUAACCUAAAUAAUCAGACCUUACCCUUUUAGACCUAGAGGAUAAGAACAAAAAACUCCCUAGACCCCUACACAACAAAAACGGCGCAUCUCAGAACCAGCUCCCAUUUUUUUCUUCUUCAAUAUCAUUUUUCAACCCCAAAUCAAAGAAACCUUCAUCAGAGACCUCUGCUCAUAACCAAAAAUCGAACCACCCCUCCCCCACAAAUUUCCUCCUCUACUGCUUUGUUUCAAAAUUUCUGAUGGAUUAAGUCAAUUUUGGACCUAAAUCGAAGCUGUGCUUUUGUUCGCGCAUCGCUGGACUCUUUUCGUUUAAAUGCGCUUUAUUGGGCUUGUGAAUAUUCUGUUUGUGGGCUGUAAAUUAGCUGAAGUGAGAACUGUUGCUGCUGGUUUUGCUUUAUCUGUGGCUAGAUUUCCUUCAUCUCCAUUUCUGCUCUCUAUCAGCUAUUUCAAGUUCUAUUUGUUGAGUAUUUUAGCUGAAAAUAUUGAAGAAGAAAUGCAGUUACUGUUUCGGAUUCAUCAAGGUCAGUCCUAGUUUUGCAAUUUACAUUUUGGAAAUAUCUGACUUUCGUUUUACACGGUCGUGUAGUAACUGUUCGGAUGAAGAUUUGUGGUUCAAAUACAAUUUUUCUUUCUUUGUAGUAUGCUUAGAAAUUGUGUAAUUUCACCUUUUAUCCCAUGUGCGUGUAUGAAGGAGUAUAUUUAGUGUUAGGACUGUAAUAAUGCAAUCUAUUGGAGCAUAAUCUGGCAAUUGGGCCGACUUAUGCUAAUAUUGUCUUUAUUGUCAUUUCAUCUAAUCAAAGGACUAUUUUCAUAGUAUGAUGUGAGGUAGAUGAAGCUCUGUUGUGUUGGAUAUGGAUCUGUUUAUUUUACUUUUGACAAAGGAUAUCUGUUUAUUUUGUAUAUUUUAUAAAUACUUGGACUUGAAUAAAGCGGAACAAAAUACUAAGAGGAUUCAUAUAUCAAACACCAGCUAGUUUGGGAUUGUGGUGUGCCAUACGCAAACAAAAUCCAUAACUCAUGGCCCUCAUAAGAUUAGAUUCAAGAGCUAACACUUAUAGGAAAAGGUUUGAGGUGUGCCAUAAAUAAAUUAAAUCAUCCAUGGCCCUCACAAAUGUUGAUAUUGAAAAUUGAAUCUUCACAGUUGCUUAGGGUGCGUUAUUUAAAUAAUUCAUCAUAGCUACGGGUACGGUUCCCAUGAUGUAGUUGUGAUUUUUUUUAAUUACUAAAAUCGGGGUGUACAUUUCAUGCGACUCAAUUUCAAUCUUCAACAAUGUUAAGUAAAGCGUGUUGCGAACCACGGGUGCAUUUCAUGUAGCGUGGUUUAAGACAUGUUUUAAAUAAUAUUGAAUUUUCCUAAAAAAUAAUUAAAAGCGGUUUCAAAAGCUAAAAUGCACAAUAGGUUAAAACAUGUAAUAAAUCGGAUAAUAGGCCAAUUUUAAUAGUUUAAGCGACCGUGCUAGAACCACGGAAUCCGGGAAUGCCUAACACAUUCUCCUGGGUUAACAGAAUUCCUUACUUAGAAUUUCUGGUUCGCAGACUUUUAAAAAAUAAAGUCGAAAUUUCCUCGAUUUGGGAUUUUAAAAUAAACCGGUGACUUGGGACACCAAAUAAACUAUCCCAAGUGGCACUCUGAAUUUGAAUAAAUAAUCUCAUUUCGAAUAAUGUCACUUAAAUUGAAAAAACUCCCAUAUACCCCCUCGGGUGGUAAAAAAUGAGGCGUGACAGUACAAAUUCACCCUUAUUCCACCAUAUCAAUCCACCCUUAUUUCAGCGUAUCAAUUCACCCCUAUUCCACAUGUUGCGGCAUGCAACCUGAUCCCACUGUGUCAGUACAAAUUCACCCUUAUUCCACCAUAUCAAUCCAUCUUUAUUUCACCUGUUGCGUCGUGCAACCCGAUCCCACCAUAUCAGUACAAAAUACUUAGUGUGCACAGUCAAAUCAAUAAUUCAAAUCAUGAGAACCUUUACGAUCAAUAAAUACCAGACUGAACCAAAAGGAAGCCUUGUACAACAUAGGAAUUCACAUGGGUAAUACUACACAAUAAGUCAAGUCCGAUAAAUGACAAUUUAAAAGGUGCAAGCAAGUCAGUUAAGGCAAGUAGCGGCAAAUCAUGAAAAUGGGAAAGGAUCUAACAUUAAUAACAGAAGUAAACACUGAUUAACAGGUAGCAAAUAGGCAUGGAAGGCAUUUACGGCAUAUAACAUUUAAGACAGGAAAUGAGAUAAUUAAGGAAAAGCAAAAAAUCAAGGAAAACAAGUAAUUCGACAGUGUAUAAGCACUCGUCACCUCGCAUAUGCGCCGCAACACAUAAAAUUCACAUAGCACAUAGUCCAAGGGUUCCUAAUUCCCUCAAGUCAAGGUUAGACUCAAUACUUAUCUCACUCCGUAGUCAAUUCAAAGCUCUACCGGGUCAUUUCCCCUAGAAUCCGCCUCCAAACAACUUGUAUCUAGCCACAAUUGACUCAAUAAUAUCAAAUAUUGCUAAAGGAAUCAAUUAUAAUGCAUAGAUUUAGAAUUUCCAAACUUUCCCCCAAAAAGUCAAAAAUUGGCCCCUAGGCUCGCUUGAUCAAAACCCGAGGUUCGGAUCAAAAUCCAUUUACCCAUUCACCUCCGAGCCCGGCUAUAUAAUUUGUUUCAAAAUUCGACCUCAAUUUGAGUUCUAAAUUCCAAUAUUACAAAAAUUCCUAAUUCUACCCAAACCCCCAAUUUCCACUAUGAAAAUCCUAGAUUUUAGGUUGAAAACUUAUGAAAUACAAUGGGUAAUUGAAAGAAAGUAGGUUAGAAUCACUUACCAACAUAUUGGGGAAGAAACACUCAUGGGAAAAUCGCCUCUAGGGUUUUCUAGUUUUUAAAUUUUAAAAGAAUGGGCAAAAUCCUGUAACUGGUCUGUUUUUAAUCACUGGGCGUCAAGUAUUCAUCGCGUUCGCGUGAAACCUGAUGCGUUCGCAAAGAGAAAAGCCUUACUGGCUUACGCGAUUGCGAGUUGACCUACACGUUCACAUAGGCUUAGCCCUACCUAGCCUCCAGUUCACGAUCCCCGCAACGCGUUCGCGUAAAACAACGGUCAAAUCCCAGCCCAGCCCAGCCCAGCCCAUCCAAUGAUAUGCGUUCGAGUAGGGUAGUCCCCCUACUGCUCCGCGUUCGCGUCCUGUUCCUCGUGUUCGCAUAGAGUACCUUUCCACUGGUCCCCACUUGCCUUUUGUGAUCACGAUUGUAUAUACGCGAUCGCAUAGAAGCUUGCACCAGACACCAGCAGGAAUGAGAAAAACUAGAAAUUUUCUAAGUUCAAAAGGUCUGUAGGCUAUCUGAAACUCACCCGAGCCCCCGGAGCUCCAAAACAAAUAUGCACACAAGUCCAAAAACCUCAUAUAAACUCGCUCGCGUGAUCAAAACACCAAAACAAUGCCUAGAACUACGAAUCGGACACCAAAUUAAAUGAAAGUUUCAAGAAAACUUUAAAACUUCUAUUUUAACAACUGAACGUCCGAAUCACGUCAAACCAAUUCAGUUUCUCACCAAAUUUAAUAGGCCUGUCAUAAAUAUAGUAAUGGACCUAUACCGAGCUCCAGAGAAAAAAUACGGACCCGAUAUCAAUAAAAUCAAACAUUGAUCAAUUCGUAAAAAUAAUUAAACCUUUAAACUUUCAAUUUUUGACAAAAAUUAAUAACUCGAGCUAGCGACCUCCGAAUUCGAUUCAGAACAUAUACCAGGGUCCCAAAUCAUGAUACGGACCCACCGGGGCUGUUAAAACACGGAUCCGGGUUCAUUUACUCAAAACGUUGACCGAAGUCUGUUUAAGAAAUAUUUCUUAUUUUUAUUAGUUUUUAACGUAAAUGCCUUCUGAAAAAAUACCCGAACUGUGCAUGCAAAUCGAGGAAGGUUUAAAGAAGCUAUUGAAGGCUUCAAAAUAUAGAAUUAUGUUCUAAAACUAUUAAUGACCUAUCAGGUCAUCACAGUAAGUCUCUUACCUAAUUUUGUAAGAGGGAAUUUACCCCAUAGGUGAUUUAAAUUAAUAUUUGCUUCUAAUUGUAGGAGCUACGUACGCACGAGAUGACGAGAGUCUAUUGUAGCUACUAAUUAUGCUUAUGUCUGGGUAGUUUAGGACCCAAAUCAUGAAAUACUUGUAAUAUUUGCACCCUACUUGUUAAUUAAAGUUCCUAAAUUAUAUUGGAAUUUGAUAAAUGAGUUGUAAAAGACCGAAUUUCACUUGCUUAAGUUUCGACAGGUUACUUGACCGUUAAUAGAAUUUGUGCUUCCUUGUGUAUUAGUCUUGUAAUAACUUUUAAACCGGAUCUUCAUAAAGUAUCCUCUCUUUUUGUGGACCGGACCGAAUGCCUCGGCAGUAGAUAGAUACAUCUAUGAUUCAUGUCGCACGACCCUUGGCAGUGUACACGUUAUUCUGGAUCAGGCCGUAUGACCUCGGCCUAAAUCAUGCCUAAUAAUACUCGGAUCCUAAUUAUACUUGAUUUUAUUUUAUGGAAUGUGAGGUUGCAAUUACUAAAUGACAGGAAUUGACUUGGAAUUUACUAUUUGUGAAAGAAUGAUUUUUUCAUUGCUUGUUAUUGAGUUGUUAAUAUCAUUUACAUAACCCAUGCUUAUAUAGAGUUUCUGUAUCUAUAUUGUUAUCCCAUAGUGAGUAUUGAUGUCGACCCCUUGUCACUACUUAUUCAAGGUAAGACUAGAUACUUACUGGGUACAUGUUAUUUAUGUACUCACACUAUACUUCUGCACUAACCAUGCAGGAUCUUAGGUAGGUGCAUAUGGUAGUCAUACCGGCGCGCACUCCUGAUAUCCCGAGGCCUAGUGGUGAGCUGCUUCCUAAGCCAUUCUAUAACAUCUAGAGUCCCUCUUUUGUAUUUGUUUUCUAUCUACUUUAUUUCAGACAGUAGUUAGAGUUUUGUAUAUUCUACUAGUAGUUCAUACACUUGUAACACCAGGUCUUGGUACACUCACUAGCAGGCUUUCUAGUUUUGGAGUAAUCAUUUUACUGCAUUUGUUUCCUUAUUAGUCUUUGCUUUUCUUAUUAAAUUUUCUACUCUGUAUUUUCUUAACCAAAAAUAGAAUGUGAACUACUUCGCAAUUUAUUAAAAAGGGGAAUUUCAUGUUUAAUUCACGGUUGGCUUGCCUAGUGGUAAUGUUGGGCGCCAAUAUGGACCAUAGGAGUAAUUGGGUCAUGACAACAUGGUAUCAGAGAACUAGGCUCACGUAGGUCUCACAAGUUAUGAGCAGGCCUAAUAGAGUCUCGUGGAUCGAUGCGGAGAUAUCUUUACUUAUCUUCGGGAGGCAAUAGGGUGUUAGGAAACUACUCAUUCUUCAUCUCCUAUUGCAUUUGAUGUUGUGCUAAGUGUCUUUCUUUUAUUCUCUCAUAGAUGGUGACAACGUGCAUGGCAGAUGUACCCGAUCAUGGAGGAGCUGCUCCCCAUAUUGCUAGAGACCGAGGGAGGGCUCCAGCUCGUGGUAGAGGAUGAGGACAUCCUAGAUUUGCUCCAAUUAUGC
rnacentral:lncRNA from 1 species